AUUGAACGCUGGCGGCAGGCCUAACACAUGCAAGUCGAGCGAGCGGCGGACGGGUGAGUAAUGUAUGGGGACUGCCCGAUAGAGGGGGAUAACUACUGGAAACGGUAGCUAAUACCGCAUACUAUCGGAUAUCCCAUAUGGGAUUAGCUAGUAGUGGAGGUAAUGGCUCACCUAGGCGACGAUCCCUAGCUGGUCUGAGAGGCUGAUCAGCCACAGUGGGAAUGAGAGAAGGCCGAGACGCCGACGGAGGGAGCAGUGGGGAAUAUUGAACAAUAGGCGGAAGCCUGAUGCAGCCAUGACGCGUGUAUGAGGAAGGCCCUAGGGUUGGAAAGUACUUUCAGUCGGGAGGGGUUACCGACAGAAGAAGCACCGGCGAACUACGUGCCAGCCGGCGCGGUAAUAC
rnacentral:rRNA from 1 species